CCUACGGGUGGCAGCAGUGAGGAAUAUUGGUCAAUGGGCGCAAGCCUGAACCAGCCAAGUCGCGUGAGGGAUGACGGUCCUAUGGAUUGUAAACCUCUUUUGUCGGGGAGCAAGGCCCGCCACGUGUGGCGGGAAGGAGAGUACCCGAAGAAAAAGCAUCGGCUAACUCCGUGCCAGCAGCCGCGGUAAUACGGAGGCCCGAGCGUUAUCCGGAUUCAUUGGGCUUAAAGGGAGCGUAGGCGGGCGUUCAAGUCAGCUGUAAAAUCGCGCGGCUCAACCGCGCCCCGCAGUUGAAACUGGACGCCUUGAGUUCACAACAGGCAGGCGGAAUUCGUGGUGUAGCGGUGAAAUGCAUAGAUAUCACGAGGAACCCCGAUUGCGAAGGCAGCCUGCCGGGGUGCGACUGACGCUGAGGCUCGAAGGUGCGGGUAUCAAACAGGAUUAGAUACCCUUGUAGUC
rnacentral:rRNA from 1 species